GGGCAAAGAACUUUCCAGGCAUAUAAACUAACGGGAGCAGAGCCAGAGGGAAGUGCAGUGCAGAUCUAUGUGGAGAGCAGCCAAUGUCCAGUGCCACUGGAGCCAUGCUUGCACAGGGGAGUUGAGUGGAACAAGGUUGGGGCCAGAUGGCUAAGAACUUUUGUAUUCAUGCAAUAAAGAGGUCAGGCUUUACUCUGUAAGCAUGAAGGAACACAUUGAAAAUUCUCAAGCGGGAGACAGAUGCAGAUAAGAGGGAAUGAAGAUGAAGUAAGGGCUGAACCACAGAAGCUUCGCAUCAUAAGUCAUUGUAUUUCUCUGAGUGAACAUCAUAGAACUUAUUUACUAUCUGGUCACAAAAUGCCACUGACAUGAAAAGAAAUCGGGUUGAAAUGGCUCUAGACCAAGAUUCCCAAGACAUCAAGAAAUCACCAAAAGUUGCCUCAGGUUCACAAAAAAAGAUAUUCCAAGGGAGUUCUCCAAACUCACAUCUGAUAACAGCCCUCAUCUUAGGCCCCAGAGGGCAAGAAGAGGUUAAGAAGGAUCAACCAAAGAUGGAACAAGACAAUAGAGGACCAUCUCAACAAUAACCUAGAAUACCAUGGAAGACAGACAUAAAUCAUCUGUAUUUGUCCUGCUCAAGACUUGCCAUAUGCCAGGCAGGUGUGAUGGCACACACUUGUGGUCCCAGCUACUCAGGAUGCUGAGGUGGGAGAACAGAUUGAUUCUGGGAGGUCAAGGCUGCAGUGAGCUAUGAUUGCUCCACUGCACUCCACCCUGGGUGACAGGAACUGCAGACAGCCUCUAGAAGUUGAAUCAGCCUCUACCAAGAAGCUUCUACCGGUGCAAAGAACUGAAUUUUUCAACAAACCUGAGGGAGCUUGGAAGUGGAAAUUUCCACAAUCAAGCCUCUGAUGAGAAUUCAGACUCAGCCAACACCUGGAUUGCAGCCACAUGAGGCUUGAAGCAGGGAACCCAGUUAAGCCAUGUCAGAACUUCUAUCCACAGACCUUAGGUAAUAAUAAAUGUGUGUUGCUUUAAGCCACUAAGUUUUUGCUAAUUUGUUUUGUAACAAUUAUAUAUAACUAGUACACAUGAAUAGUAGAAUCUAAUAUCAGCCAUUGACUUCAAUGAAGGAAAAAACAGAUGUGAAAAAGAAUACAUGAAAUAGUACAUGAAAGAAUACCUGCACAUGGCAUACACUUGAAUCCAUGUAUAUGCCAGGCUUUCUUGUGUUGCACACCCAGACCAACCCUGUAGUUAAAGAUAACACAGUAGAAAAACUGAAGAGUUACUGAGAGUAAUUAAAAUGUCUUAAGCAGGAGUGGGG
rnacentral:lncRNA from 10 species